GGGUGGUGGCUGUGGAGAGGAGGGGGCUGCGCCUGAGGAUCGCCUGCAGGCGUCUGCACUAAACAAUAAGCAGCCGUCACCUAAUUCAGGAGCCUAAGAAGUCUAACAUCGAAGUGCUGGCAGAUUUGGUGUCUGGUUUUUUCAAAUAAGCUGUUUGCUCAAGAAAAGAAACUCAAUUUUUUCAGAUCCAGAAAGAAUAAAUCAAUUUGAAAUAUUCUUCAUAAAAUGGCUAUAAGAGGCAGCAAGUGCUAAGAAACAUGAAUUUAUGAACAUAGCCACAUGCUUUUUUCCUUUCAGUUUGAUUUAAAUUUAAUAUCCUCCCACAAUGGAAAAUCAUUUACAAUAAAGAGAUGAACUGGA